rnacentral:pre_miRNA from 1 species
AAUAAGAUCAUUUUUUAGUUUUUUAUAUAAUGUUUUGACUCUUCGUCUUAUUUGAAAUUUUUUUGCGAUUAAUAUUUUUAUUUUUACUCGAUGAUAAAACAUGAAUAGUACUUUAUGCGUGACUAGUUUUUUAAAUUUUUUAUAUAUUUUUAAAAAAGACGAAUGGUCAAAUGUUAGACACGAAAAAAC